AAUAAAGCUAUUUUUAGACAAAGCUAAGAAAAUAUAUCCUUAACAGUCCAGCAAUAAAAGCACUGUAAUGAUAAAGGAAGUUAUCUCAGGCUCAUUAAAUAAUACCAGGUCCUAAAAAGACAAAAGACAAAAAUAAUAAUAAUACCAGGAAAUUGACCUGAUUGACCAUCCUGAUUGACCUAACUGAAGUUAUUGAAAACUACAUCCAACAAAGAAUACAGCUUAUUUUUCUCCCCUCUAGCAAUAUGAUAUGGUUUCAUUUAUUCAGAAUAAAGGAAAAGGAACCCAAACAAGCCCCACAAACCUAAGACAAAAGCAGCCAAGGUAAAUAUAGACAAAAAUCCAAAUACACUCCACACAGCUUCAUUUAAGGAAUAAUUUGCAUAAGUCUGCAUCCUUUUAUCUGUCCUUUGAAGUGAGUUUUUCAAUCAGUUCCUGGAAUGGUGCAAGUUUUCUUCUGUUAAUAAGGUUGAAUUCCUGGACAAAAAAAAUAAAGUGCUUGAACAAUGUAUUGAGAUGUGCUUCCUCCUGAAUCUAGAUCGCAGGGUCAAAAUGCUGGUGAUAAAGGUGAGCAUAAACCCAGAAGAGGCUUUUGAGUAGUUUUUGCCACAGACAUGAGAUUCUUUAGGAAUGGGACACCAAUUUUUGAUGGAAAUAAUGUCUCAUCAUUCAACUGGUCCUGAACCCACACCAUGAUGUAAUCAAUAUGCUUUGGUGCAGAGUCCUUAAUAGGCUUCUUUAUGUUUGUUCCAUCUGCCCAAUGAUAUUCAUACUUUGAGCCAGCUAACAUCACAGGAUAAAUUUCUUCUGUGCAAAAAUCUGUGAUUGUUCCAUAAAGCAUGUUCUGAUUGAAGAAACCCAUGUUCAUUGCAACCUACUCAUUUAGCUCUUCCCCCUCAGGAAGCAUGACAGCCAUCUACAGGUUUCCACUGCCAAGUAUGGCCUUUGCAUGCUGUAAGAGCUCAUAUUGGCUCAACGAAUGCAAGGCCUCUGGGCAAAGGCGGCAGCAGCAGCCAGGCAAGGAGAGAAAGGAGAAGGAGAGGAUGAAGAAGAG
rnacentral:lncRNA from 1 species